rnacentral:tRNA from 1 species
GUUUCUGUAGUUGAAUACAACAGCGGUUUUUCAGGCUGCAGGUCUCGGUUAAAGUCCGGGCAGAAUCA